rnacentral:misc_RNA from 1 species
GGUAUACAAUACACGCGUAUUUAAUCAUUCCUCAUACGAAUAACGAAGGACUAAAUUGUGGUACGCGUUGAUAUUUCAUUCCAUACAACACCAUUGACCCAAAAGGUCGUGGUUUUUCAAAAUGAAGUGUUAUUUAUUAUUUCUGUUUUUUUGCUCUUUGAGUGUAAAUAUCAGAGCAGAAGAUGCCACAGUGUCAGUGGAUAAAAGUGUCUGGGAUAAAAUCUACAAUGCAGCCAUAGUUGUAUGCGCCUGUACACCUAAGCCGAUUCCAACUGAUCCACCACAAGUGUGUAGCAACCGGACACAUUUUGACAGAUUAUCAUCAGUUGAAGUCAGUAAGGCUGCUAGUCUUUGUGAGAACAUAAAUGCUGCCAAUAUAAAAUUGACAGGGUUGCCAAAACGCAAUGAUGGAACCGAGAAGCCAGAAACGAAUGCCACCGUGAAGCCAGAAACGACUGUCACCGUGAAGCCAGAAACGAAUGCCACCGUGAAGCCAGAAACGACUGCCACCGUGAAGCCAGAAACCAAUGCCACCGUGAAGCCAGAAACGAAUGCCACCGUGAAACCAGAAACGACUGCCACCGUGAAGCCAGAAACGAAUGCCACCGUGAAGCCAGAAACGACUGCCACCGUGAAGCCAGAAACGACUGCCACCGUGAAGCCAGAAACGAAUGCCACCGUGAAGCCAGAAACGAAUGCCACCGUGAAGCCAGAAACGACUGCCACCGUGAAGCCAGAAACGAAUGCCACCGUGAAGCCAGAAACGACUGCCACCGUGAAGCCAGAAACGAAUGUGACCGUGAAGCCAGAAACGAAUGCCACCGUGAAGCCAGAAACGAAUGCCACCGUGAAGCCAGAAACGACUGCCACCGUGAAGCCAGAAACGACUGCCACCGUGAAGCCAGAAACGAAUGCCACCGUGAAGCCAGAAACGAAUGCCACCGUGAAGCCAGAAACCAAUGCCACCGUGAAGCCAGAAACCAAUGCCAGAGGAACACCAGGAAGCAAUAGAACGCCAGGAAGCAACAGUGGCCACGAUGCAGCAGCUGGUCAUCAGGUGGCCAACAAGCCAGAGCCGACGAAAGUUGCAAUCCAUGUCGUGGUAAUAGGAGUGUUCUGCGCCUUCGCUGCCGGAGUCCUCGUUGCCAUCGGCUGCAAAUACGCAUACGACCGCUAUAGAAAACGAUCUUACGGGGGUGCGAACAACCGGGCUUAGUGGGCAAAACAACGAAGCAACGUCGCCAAGAGGUCCUGCCGACAUUUAAGUUCUUCCACCGGAGCAGGGCAUGCAAAUGUGAAAUGGAUUAGAUUUAGUUAGGUAACAUAAUA